AACGAACGCUGGCGGCGUGGAUAAGACAUGCAAGUCGAACGGGACAGACCGAGUAGCAAUAUUUGGAAUGUUCAGUGGCGAACGGGUGCGUAACACGUGGAUAACAUUCCGGAAAGCGGGGAAUAGCCCAGGGAAACUUGGAUUAAUACCGCAUGUGGCCGCAAGGCUAAAGACGGGGACCGCAAGGCCUGUCACUUUCCGAUUGGUCCGCGGCCUAUCAGCUAGUUGGCGGGGUAAUGGCCCACCAAGGCUACGACGGGUAGCUGGUCUUAGAGGACGACCAGCCAAACUGGAACUGAGACACGGUCCAGACACCUACGGGUGGCAGCAGUCGAGAAUCUUUCACAAUGGGGGCAACCCUGGUGGAGCGACGCCGCGUGGAGGAUAAGGUCUUCGGAUUGUAAACUCCUGUCAUGCGAGAACAAGGUACUCAGGCUAAUAACCUGAUUGUUUGAUGGUACCGCAAGAGGAAGAGACGGCUAACUCUGUGCCAGCAGCCGCCGUAAGAC
rnacentral:rRNA from 1 species